rnacentral:rRNA from 1 species
UACGUAGGGGGCAAGCGUUUGUCCGGAUUUAUUGGGCGUAAAGAGCGUGUAGGCGGUCAGGUAGGUCCGUUGUGAAAACUCGAGGCUCAACCUCGAGACGCCGAUGGAAACCAUCUGACUAGAGUCCGGAAGAGGAGAGUGGAAUUCCUGGUGUAGCGGUGAAAUGCGUAGAUAUCAGGAGGAACACCGAUGGCGAAGGCGGCACUCUGGGCCGAUACUGACGGCUGAGGAGCGAAAGCGUGGGGAGCGAACAGG